GAUGAACGCUGGCGGCGUGCUUAACACAUGCAAGUCGAACGAUGAAGCCCAGCUUGCUGGGUGGAUUAGUGGCGAACGGGUGAGUAACACGUGAGUAACCUGCCCUUAACUCUGGGAUAAGCCUGGGAAACUGGGUCUAAUACCGGAUAGGAGCGUCCACCGCAUGGUGGGUGUUGGAAAGAUUUAUCGGUUUUGGAUGGACUCGCGGCCUAUCAGCUUGUUGGUGAGGUAAUGGCUCACCAAGGCGACGACGGGUAGCCGGCCUGAGAGGGUGACCGGCCACACUGGGACUGAGACACGGCCCAGACUCCUACGGGAGGCAGCAGUGGGGAAUAUUGCACAAUGGGCGCAAGCCUGAUGCAGCGACGCCGCGUGAGGGAUGACGGCCUUCGGGUUGUAAACCUCUUUCAGUAGGGAAGAAGCGAAAGUGACGGUACCUGCAGAAGAAGCACCGGCCAACUACGUG
rnacentral:rRNA from 1 species